AUAGGCUUCUGUUUCGGUUGCAGAAGCAGAAAUUUAUUGAGCUAUUGAGGAGCGGGACGGAAGAGGCUAGAGAUUCUGCAAUUGAAUGCAUAAGAACGGCUCUUGCUCCCUCUGCUCUUGAUGCCUAUCCGGAAGCAUAUGAGGAAUUUAAGCAUGUCCUUCUUGCCUUCAUAUAUGACAAAGAUGACCAGAGUUCUCCUGUGGCAAAUGAGUGGUCUGAGAGGAGAAGGUUUGACAUUGCUGGAUUAAU
rnacentral:misc_RNA from 1 species